CCAAUAGCGUAUAUUAAAGUUGUUGCAGUUAAAAAGCUCGUAGUUGAAUUUCGGGACCAAUAUGUCGGUCGUGCCUCGGUACGUACUGGUAUUAUUGGUUUCUCCCUUCUGAAGAACCAUGAUGCCAUUAAUUUGGUGUCAUGGGGAAUCAGGACUGUUACUUUGAAAAAAUUAGAGUGUUUAAAGCAGGCUCGCGCUUGAAUACAUUAGCAUGGAAUAAUGAAAUAGGACGUUUGAUUCUAUUUUGUUGGUUUCUAGGAUCGACGUAAUGAUUAAUACGGAUAGUUGGGUGCAUUAGUAUUCAAUUGUCAGAGGUGAAAUUCUUGGAUUUAUUGAAGACUAACUACUGCGAAAGCAUUUGCCAAGGAUGUUUUCAUUAAUCAAGAACGAAAGUUAGGGGAUCGAAGACGAUCAGAUACCGUCGUAGUCUUAACCAUAAACUAUGCCGACUAGGGAUCGGAUGAUGUUAAUUUUUUAAUGACUCAUUCGGCGCCUUACG
rnacentral:rRNA from 1 species